rnacentral:rRNA from 1 species
GAGAUGUGUGAUGACGCAUAUCAAUAAGCGGAGGAAAAGAAACUAACAAGGAUUCCCUUAGUAACGGCGAGGGAAGCGGGAAGAGCUCAAAUUUGAAAUCUUCAAGGUUCUACCUUGACGAAUUGUAGUUUAUAGAAGUGUUUUCUGUUAGUGGAGUGGCAAAAGUUCUUUGGAAUAGGACAUCAUAGAGGGUGAGAAUCCCGUAUUUGGUCAUUCCUCCUAGCGUUGUGAUACACUUUCAACGAGUCGGAUUGUUUGGGAAUGCAGUCCAAAAUGGGUGGUAAAUUUCAUCUAAAGCUAAAUAUUGGCGAGAGACCGAUAGCGAACAAGUACCGUGAGGGAAAGAUGAAAAGAACUUUGAAAAGAGAGUUAAACAGUACGUGAAAUUGUCAAAAGGGAAGCGUUUGACACCAGUGUUGUUUUUCCGAAAAUCAAUUACGAAUGUUUUAUUUUUGAGGAGUUAUGACUUCAUCGGCUUGCUCCUUUCUUUAUGAAACUUUCUUAAUGCACUUUUCGGUUAACAAGUCAACAUCAAUUUCUUUUGUUGUAAAAGGGUAUGAGGAAGGUGGCUUUCUUUUCGGAGAAAGUGUUUAUAGCCUUGUGCCUCUGCAAUCGGAGAGAUUGAGGUCUGCAGCGUAGAUCCUUCGGGGUUAGAUACGUUUGUGCUAAGUUAUAGCUUUUCAUAGACAACCUGUUGACUAUGUUUAGUCUUGUAGCUUACUCGCUGAUGCUAUUUUACCUACGCUUAGGAUGUUGAACUCUAUCACACACAG